CCCAGCAAACAGAUUUUUUGUUAUCGUUCAAGAUUUGAGUCAAUAUUUGUCCAUGAACUUGUUAGCUUAAACUCCGUUGCCGAGAGGAAUAACAAAAAUAUUUAUUACGAAAAUGUUUUAAAUCUAUAAACACGAAUGUAUUUAUAUUUCUGCAAUAACGUUGUAGAUAUUUUUACGAAUUUUAGGCUGCCAGCCAAAGUGUUAAUGGAUUUUUCGGCGCUGGUCACCCAUCCCGAUCGUGUGUUAUCGGGUAAAAUUCGUCACCUAUCUCUUUCAUAGCUAGUAUAUUUUUUAUUGUCGUUUGUAGAUAUUUCAAUCAUUGUACAAUCAUUGUAAUUUCUUUUUCUUCGUACCUGAAAAAAUUGUUUGCUCGCUAACGCUCUUACUAUAACAUACCUUUAUAUUUAUUGCACAAUGUCUCGUAGGUAUUACCGUACAUCUUAAUAGCUUUACUUUGAUCAAUUUAGGUUGAUACAUUUUUCUAAAUCUUUCUUUACGUUCGCUUGAGGAUCACUCUUUUCGAUAUAUUUGUUUACGUUAUGAAGUAUAUUUACGAUUAAAUUUAUUAAAUAAGGAACAAAACUAAUCUCCAGCUCACCUGUCGAUCGUAACGACGAACAAAAUUGAAUAGAACAGUAACGAAAGUCAUCGCAAGUGCAAAGACAUUUAUUGAUGUCAUUCAGACCAUAAUUUUUCUUAUGGAACUUUCACGAAAAAGUUUCAUACUUUAGCAAACCCAAAUUACUGACAUAUCGAUCAAGUCCGUUGCAAUGACAGAAGAUCGAAUUUUUACGAAAAUUUCAAAGACAAUACGAAAGAUUUGGAAUGAAUCGAUUAUACUCGGUAAUAAAUUGCAAGUAAUUAGAUUAAACUAAAUAAUUUUUAAAGGUUUUCACAAAAAAGAUUCCUUUUCGUAACGUUCAACAACUACAGCAUACCAUAUAGUCUUCAUGCUUUAAUUUCGGAAAGUAAUCGUCACUCCCCCUUGGUUUUCUACCGACAUCACCAAUUUUUUAUACAUACUUUGUUUACAGCAGAAGUUGCGUUAAAUUUUUGUAAUUACUCCUCGCUCUGAUACUCGCGCGAAUACACACUGUUUAUCCAUGGUAUAUCGUAACUUACUUCUGCGAUGGAUUAGGGACACGAAAACAAUGGAAAAGUUUAUAUAAACUUGUGCCCUGUUCGACCUUGUUUCCUUACGGAAAGUUUAUAUAACGAAAAUAGAAAACAUAAUGCUUUCCAAUCCAUCGAUAGAAUCCUGUUAAUUAACGAACAUUGUUGCCAAUGUCACGCAGUCGAAUAACCACAAUUAGAAUCCAUAAUUAUCGAGUUAAUAAACUAUUGAAUUAAAGAUGCACAACCAUACGUUAUCUCGAAAAUUAUUCAUUAAUAUUUGGUUCAAAACUUGCGGAUAAAUCACGUUUCUGUUAAAUCACGUUAAAAACAAUACACACAGUGGACCACUUAAAACAGAACAUGUGAAUAUCUUCCUUGGAUUUGGAGACACUAAAUUAAAAUGCUUUCAACAAAAUUUAAAUUGUGCACGUGUCACCCAAUUUCUCAAUUUUACAAAUACUCUAGCUGCUCCCCAUCUUCCAAGUUGGACAACAUCUAAAAUAAAACAGAACAUAACAACUAAAAUAAACCAUGUAUAAUCGCUAACAAAGUUUGCUAAACUAUUGUACUGCCAGAGAGGACAUCGAAAUGCUAAAGGUUAAAAGCUUUGAUCACACUUCAUCGCCGAUUGGGACGUAAACAUUUUAUAUCUCGAAAUAAAGAGAAAUGGACUUGUAUUACUUCCCCGACGAACGGCUAUAUUGCCUGGAUACUCAACUGAAAUUAAACAUCAUUCAAUAUUGUUUGAAAUUGGUCGUUGACCUGUUAAUUUUCCAUCAAGGAAAAUAGGCUCCAUUACAUUAUUGGGUAAGGUCGCAUUCCAGGAAGUUUAGAAUCCAUUGGUUCAGAGUAUUUGAGUUUUCUUUCCUUUUCAUUCCAUUUUCGACAACCGUCGUUUUGGUUGGAUGUACUUGGGGUCGAAAACUCCAUCUCGCGGGUUUACGAGAGCAAUGAAAUUCACGUUGCACGGUCCGAGGAGUUUCAACGAUUAAUUAGCACUCGCAUCGCUCACAAAGAGUAACGAAGCGCAGAUUUGAUUCCGCCGAAAAUCAGACGAUAUCAGUUCUCGAUUACUCGAUGGAUCAAUAAUUAUUUAUAACUGAACAAAAUUUUAGAUCGACAAAUUAUUUCAAUUAUACUGUUUAGUACCAAAGUAAGGGAGACUACUGUAUCAAAAAGGUCAUUUCUCAUUCUAACGCAAUAAUUGAUUUUUCGUCGAAGCGCCUCUACGGAAUAAAGAUUAGUUUUAUACGCUACGCGGCAACUGUUUGACCUUUAAAUGUCAUUACAAAUACCGUAAAAUGUAAUACAUAUUUCGUCGGUCACGUUAUACAUUUAUACACAUACCUGUCUCUGAAAUGGUGAUACGCUGAAUUUGGCAUUGCAUUUAUACGAAUUUCUACAAUAUUGUCCCCAUUAUAAGGGUAUAUAAGCUGCGCUAAGUAAUUGACCUCAGGAUAAAAACUCAGUCGUGAUUAUACUUCAGAUUUUUAUGUACUUAUAGGAAAUUUGAAUGCGCAAGAAACUACCAAAGUACCAAUUAUUAAAGGAAAAUAAAAAGCGUGAAAUAUGAAAAAUAUAUUUGUAUCAACUGAAUUUUGUCUACACUGUUUGAAAUGACACUUGUUUAAAAUAAAUACCAUUAUUCUAUAUUCUAUUCUAUUCUAAACUACGAUUGAAUUAAAAAAAAAAAAAAAGUUAAUUUAACAAAAAGGCUAAAUUACAACGUUUUUUUUCCAUAAUGGACGGGUGACUACUUAAUUUGAUCCCUAACUGUAGGUUUUGAGAUAGGCCAA